rnacentral:rRNA from 1 species
UGCGNNUGGGCGAAGCCUGACGCAGCGACGCCGCGUGGAGGAUGAAGGUCUUAGGAUUGUAAACUCCUGUCAGAUGGAAAGAAAAGUAUGUGUUUAAUAGACAUAUAAUAUGACGGUACCAUCAGAGGAAGCACCGGCUAACUUCGUGCCAGCAGCCGCGGUAAUACGAAGGGUGCAAACGUUAUUCGGAAUCACUGGGCGUAAAGGGUGCGUAGACGGUAUGUUAAGUUCGUUGUUAAAGGCUCUGGCCUAACCGGAGUAUUGCAAUGAAAACUGGCGUGCUAGAGGGUGAGAGAGAGAAGUGGAAUUCCUGGAGUAGCGGUAAAAUGCGUGGAUCUCAGGAGGAACACCAAUGGCGAAGGCAGCUUCUUGGCUCAUUCCUGACGUUGAGGCACGAAAGCGUGGGGAGCAAACAGGAUUAGAUACCCUGGUAGUCCACGCUGUAAACGAUAAUCACUAGAUGCUGUAGAAAUUGACCUCCGCAGCGUCGCAGUUAACGCGUUAAGUGCUCCGCCUGGGGAGUACGGCCGCAAGGCUAAAACUCAAAAGAAUUGACGGA